CUGCAGAAUUGGCCUACUAUUGCUCAGCUUGUUCAUCAAGUUCUUAAAAGUUUCCCUCGCUUACGUAUAACUCACGGGUGUAAGAGGGCUUGAAAAGUUAUCCUCGAUAUAGUUCUGCUUCUAAGCUACAGAUGCAAAGGAUGCAGGAAAUGGAGCAGGUUGCUGGUGGUCAAGGUCUGCCCACUUACAGGAACACUAUCAAUAAAUUUAUGGCAAUGCAGCAGCUAUGGAUGAAUAAGCCUAAUAUGGGCAACAACACUAAUUUGCUUUUCAAUAAUAAACGCUCGACAAAUGGGCAGGCAGCAGCUACCUUAGCAUUGACCAACUACCAGGGGAAUAUAUUUUGCUGGAGUGGAAAAUGUUUAAUGUCCGAUGCAUGAUACUAUGUUCAUUGUCAAGUCUUAUUCCUGAAAAAUUUAAUUUAGUCAGGCAUCUAUGCUUUGGAGGAAAGAAGUUACGGAAAUGGCAGCAGACUACCCUGAUGUUGAGCUCUCACAUAUGUAUAUUGAUAAUGCAGCAAUGCAACUUAUUCGUGAUCCCGAACAGGGUAUAUUCACCUCCCCAGCCCAAAGUCAACAAACAUUUAAACUAUUUUCUUUCUUGAGAACUAACGUUAGUCUUUUUACAAAAAUGUGUCCGCUAAUUUACUUGUGCAGUUUGACACUAUAUUAACCAACAACAUUUUUGGUGAUAUAUUAUCUGACGAGGCUUCUAUGGUUAGUGGGA